GCCAGCCACCCAGGAAGGAAGCGUUUUGUUCCUUUCAGAGGGCUUGGCUAGCCAGUGGCCACGCUGUUGAAAAGCUCUAAAAUUUCCAACCAGCACUGGGACCCUUACCAGGGGAGACUGGGAACAGGCGGUCACAAGGUCACAAACUACCGAGCUGAUAUCCAGAUCUUUUACUUUGUUGAUGGCUGCCUUCCUUCCCUCCCUUAUAACUAUGACCGGUCUCCUUUCUCACAAGUUAUAUCCCAGACGCCAGAGGAGUCUUUCAUGCUUUCCUAUACAAACAGCCGAAUGAUCAUUCCAUCAGGGUUGAUGAGUGAGUUAAAGGUUUAAAGGUAUCAGAUCAACUGAAGGAAAGAGUUGGAGUUCCUAGCAGUUGCUCCCACAUGAUAAUUUCACUCCAUGAGCAGAUGUAAACGUUAAAGAAAUCAGCGGAGAGGAACCAAGAUGGCAAAGUAGAAGGAUGUGCUCUCACUCCCUCUUGUGAGAACGCCAGAAUCACAACUAGUUGCUGGACAAUCAUCGACAGGAAGACACUGGAACUCACCAAAAAAGAUACCCCACAUCCAAACACAAAGGAGAAGCCACAAUGAGAUGGUAGGAGGGGUGCAAUCACAGUAAAAUCAAAUCCCAUAACUGCUGGGUGGGUGACUCACAGACUGGAGAACACUUAUACCACAGAAGUCCACCCACUGGAGUGAAGGUUCUGAGCCCCACAUCAGGCUUCCCAACCUGGGGGUCCGGCAACGGGAGGAGGAAUUCCUAGAGAAUCGGACUUUGAAGCCUAGUGGGAAUUGUUUGCAGGACUUCAACAGGACUGGGGGAAACAGAGACUCCACUCUUGGAGGGCACACGCAAAGUAGUGUGCACAUCAGGACCCAGGGGAAGGAGCAGUGACCCCAGGGGAGACGGAACCAGGCCUACCUCCUAGUGUUGGAGGGUCUCCUGCAGAGGCGGGGGGUGGCUGUGUCUCACCAUGGGUACAAGGACACUGGCAGCAGAAGUUCUGGGAAGUACUCCUUGGCAUGAGCCCUCCCAGAGUCCAUCAUUAGCCCCACCAAAGAGCACAGGUAGGCUCCAGUGUUGGGUUGCCUCAGGCCAAACAACCAACAGGGAGGGAACCCAGCCCAACCCAUCAACAGUCAAGCAGAAUAAAAGUUUACUGAGCUCUGCCCACCAGAGCAACAGUCAGCUCUACCCACCACCAGUCCCUCCCAUCAGGAAACUUGCACAAGCCUCUUAGAUAGCCUCAUCCACCAGAGGACAGACAGCAGAAGCAAGAAGAACUACAAUCCUGCAUCCUGUGGAACAAAAACCACAUUCAAAGAAAGAUAGACAAAAUGAAAAGGCAGAGGGCUAUGCACGAGAUGAAGGAACAAGAAAAAAACCAGAAAAACAACUAAAUGAAGUGGAGAUAGGCAACCUUCCAGAAAAAGAAUUCAGAAUAAUGAUAGUGAAGAUGAUCCAGGACCUCGGAAAAAGAAUGGAGGCAAAGAUUGAGAAGAUGCAAGAAAUGUUUAACAAAGACCUAGAAGAAUUAAAGAAUGAACAAAC